CUAAAUCCCUGGCCUAUAAUUGUUUCCAAUGUGAUGUACUGUGCUGUCACAGGCCCAGAGUAACAGGACCAAGUGACUAUGGAAUGAAACUCUGAACGUCAGGAUGACUCCAGCACCCUGUACCUUGCUUGACAGACAGACGUGGAGCCAGGUCUCUAAGGGAGAGACUCCGGGAUUGAACCCAGAAUGGAAGCAGGUCCCCUGCCUGUGACUUGCCCUGUGCACUGACUGCACAGCAACCAGUUUGCCCCAUCUGGAGAGAAGAUGGAGAGCCUGAGAAGGUGAUCAGAUUGCCCCAUUCCUACUUGAGGUCAAGGGCAGAGCAAAGCUGGAGCUCAUGUUGCUGUGUGGGGCUGUGAGUCUUCUGACUGUGAAAUGGCACAGCCUUGAAGCCCCUGCAGCUUCUGUAAGGUCAAUCUUACAUCCCAGGAAGAGAGGAGUGGAGAAAACAUCUUGCUCCCUGCACUGCUGACCGCCUCUUCGAGUCAGCUUCUCAUUCAGAGCACGGAAGCAGAGGUUUUGGGAAGGUGACCUAGGUCUUCAAGGUGAAGCAACGCUGGAAUCUGCCAGAAACUAUUUCAGGUCAUGGAGAAGAUAUUUUUUCAUAUGGAGAGCAUUGGGCCUCAACACAAGAAACCAGACCUUUUUUUGGCUGCCAGUCAGCAGCUGAGCCCUGUGGCUGCCUGCCAGGCUGGGUGACUGAGUGAGAGUUCAGAAUGGCCGAGGUCAGAGGCAGCCGCCAGUGCAGAGCCUCCUACCGAGCUGAGUGAACCUUUUAUUCAUUUCCUGGGAACUGGGAGAAGCUGAGCCAGUGCCUCACCCACUGCAGUCUCAGGCUGCUAAGCUUUUGCGUCCUCUUUUAACUGUAUAGGGGUUAUUUUCUGGGCCUUCAUCCAGGCCACUGGGACUCUGGGAACCGCCUUUUUUUGCUUGGAGUAUGUGUGUGGUGAGUGUUUGGAUGUGUUCCAGCUGUGGUUCCUAGAAUGACAGUGGCUUCCAGUCUCUCCAUGUGGAAUAUUAGCCUCUCACCUGUCCAGGGCUGCCUGCCCUGUCUUCCUCUAUGGUUCCCUGACUUAGCCCCACUUGAGCACACUUUCAACCAGGAUAUGGCGUCCCUUGGCCCCAAAGGUCUUCGGGAGGGCCCAUCAUCCAGCAAGAAUAGCUGUUGUUCUGCAGCAGCUGUCAUGAAGGGUCCCUGCCAGCCCCUGAGGGCCCCUGGGGCACAGUUAUGACCGCAUCUGGCUGUAUCAGAUUCCUAUUAGUUGAGGUCGGACUUGAGUGAGCCCUGUGGCUUUCUCCUGGCAAUGAUCUGUUUGUGAAUCUGACCCCCACAGCUGUCUGUCUGGCUCCCUCAUCCCACACUCCUCUGGAAGGAAUUCCCAGGAGCAGUCUGGCCCCUGGGUGAGCCUGCUCCUUGAGGUCAGGAUGGUGACCUUGUGGUGGCUGGCUGGGUGGGGCUGGAAUGAAGGAGGUGAGGUGGGCACAUGGGGAUGGGUCCUGGGGCAAGUAGCCUAUUCUCGCUUGGCAGAGCAGGUGCAGAACAGAACAGACCUGGGGUUGCCCAACCCUGCUACGGGUAGCCAUGUGACCUUGUGGGAUCCAACCCCUUUGCCCCAAUGAGCCUCCAUCUCCUAGUUGGUAAUGGGAGUUAACACCUCCUCUGAAGUUGUUGGGAGGCUUACUUCAGAGGGUGCCCGUGAAGAUGCACAACAAAUGCAAGCAAUUAUUUGAGUCUUUGACCCUUCCAUUCAGCACCAAACUAUUCUAAAAGAACAGCUUCUUGUGGGACAGUUCUCUGCUAAGUUGCCCCAGUUCUAGUCUCUCUCUGGCUCUCAGAGACAGCCAGCUUCCACUUUUUCCAGAUCCUGUGAGACUUCCCUCCUCUGCUCUGCAUGGCUACUUCUGUGCAGAAUAAGAGUUUGGAGGUGUGAUCCCUACUGUCCCACGGCUCGGGGCAGAAUGGCAGAGGGCAGGGUCCCAGUGCUGGCUGUACCACGAGCCAGCUCACUCCAUUGCAGACUUGGAGCAGGUGCUUUCACCUCUCUUUGCUUUGAUUUCACCUUUUCCAAGCCCAGGAGGAGGCAGGUUAAGGGAGGUGAGCACCUUCCCCACGUCUCAGCUGGUACACAAUGAGUCAGAGUUCAACACCAGCAGUUGCACAGUCAUGGAAGGACAAGAGCCUUCAGUGGUAGAAGCUGGGAAGAUGGGAGCCAGGAGGCAGAGAGAUGGCCCAAGUCACAGCUCCAUGCAGGAGCGACAAUGUCAGAAAAUACCACCGGGAAGGAAACUUUUGUGUCAAGUCCAAUCCGAGCCUCCCCAUGGAUCAGGGAUGCUGAAUGUGGAGGAGAACAGAGGGAUGGGAAGGAGCGCCCGCCCUCCAUCAGAAUUCAGAUGCUUUCCCAGGUGCUUGGCAGAGACACCACAAGACCCCAGCAGAAUGCUGCAAUUCGGAGGAACCUUGGACAGUAGCCUCAUCGACCCCAUCACCCACUGGAGAGGACCCCACACCCCAGCGAGGACAGCCAGACCAGACUCGGGGUUCGCAGUGGUCUCAGCAUUUCUUUGAGCCAAGGAGGCCACCAGAAGUCAUACAGCAGAAAACAAGCAGGUCUAAAUAAAUAAGGUGGUGGUGACAUUUUCCGUAGUUUGUCUCCUGGAACCAUCUAGAGAAUCUGAGAAACAACUCUUCAGACUGUUGCUACCACCUUCAGGUCUGGGCUGAUCAAACACGGGUUGGUUAUAAUCAACCCCUUCCUCUCGCCGCUCCCUGAUCAUGAUGGAUUGAUCUGAUUUCAGGAAAGGGGCUGUGCUGGGGGUAGGGUUGUUGAUGUCCAUCCAGCUUGCACCUGGUAGUGACCCACAAAUCCCAUAAAGAAUCAUGGGCAGGACCCAGAACCUCAGCCAGCAGGAAGUGGACGCUCUUCUGGAUGAUUUGAAAGACCUGCUACUGGUCUCCAGUGCACAUGAAUGGAAGUCUGGGGAGAAGCCUGGCACCCAGGAAGGUCCAACUGCCAACCCAGGGGAAGCAAAGUCCCCAGGUACUGGCCAUUUGGGCGAGCUGCACGCUGAUAUCCAAGAUGCUGUGUGAGGAGAGGAGUACGAUGGGGACUCUGACCCCAAGGAGCUUGGAGCCCAGAGACACAGACACAGGCAGGGAGAGCAGAGGCCCGGAUGCAGCAGUACACUGUGCAGAAGAGACACCAUGGAGGGAGAAGUCAGCCACACUCCAGACUAGAGACUCGGCGAAGCAGAGUCAUUUCCCUGAGGACACACAGCAAACACAUGGCAACAGCGGGACUGGAGUCCAGGCCUCUGAUUCUAAAGGCUCUAAGACACUUUUCAUCCUGAUGCACCACAGUGACCACACUGAGGAGAACAAAGCAGGGGGUCUGUGAUCAGGGAACCACUUGGAGCUUCGUGGGUCUGGCAGAUGGAGGAACAAGGACCGAUGUUUUUCUUUUCCAGAUCCUUUGUUUCAUGCUGUGGGGCAAGAAAUCGCCCUCUGCAACACCAGGGUCAACACCAAGGCACACACAGGAGGCUGGGUCAGUUCCUGUGUGACCCUCUUGACACUGGGUAAACCCUGUAUGUGCAAGGUGGGCGCCAAGCCCCCGUGGCUUCUCCGGGGUGCAAGAGGGGGCUCUGAAACCAGCCAGGGUCCUCCAACCGCACGCACAGGGUGGCAGUGUUGCUUCUGUUCUCUUCCCCCAGGCCUGUCAGCUUCGGGUCCCCACAGCCCCACCAGCGCCCCUCCAGCCCCAGUCAGCUCUGGAGGUGGCUGGUCUGGCCCGUUGGGCCACAUUUCUCCUCCCUUCCCAGCUCUGUAACACCUGCCCCCCUUGCUGGGGACCUCUGCCUCCUACCCUGAGGGGAGAUUCCAGAACAGACAGCAGCGCCACCCUGCCGCCUGGGUGACAAAAUCCAGAAGCGAGUAAAUGGGUAUUUACUGAGUACCUGGAACUUGCCAGGCCCUUGAGAUAUUCAAUCCUCCUUGAGCUACCCUUUGAAGAUUAUCCUUUUAUUUACUUAUGAUGAAAGCAAGGCUCAGGGAGGCCGACCGCCCCGGGGCGUGCCGCUGGGAAAGCUGGGAGAAUUUUUCUAUCAUGAGUUGAAAUGGAGACUCUGAGAACAGCUCUGCCCCUGGCCCCGGCCCCAGCCCGUCCCCUCAGCGACAAGGGCCGCAUGCCCAAGUCCUCCUGUUGUACACCCUUGGCCGCUGGCUGACCCCAGCUCUACCUACUGACGGCGGGCCUGCAGGGGGCUCCCGCCGGGCCUGGCCCCAGGCCUAGGUCUGCCCAGGCCACCUCUUCCGUGGGCAGGAAGAGCUUGGCGCUUGGGUCACACGUGCUGCUACGGGGUCACUUCCACCGGCGACCAGGGCCUGAUCCCUGACAGCUUCUGGGUCUGAAAGUGAGAUCACAUCCUCACUUCACAAAGCGAGAGCGGGACAGAGGAGGCAGGGGAGGGACCUGCUCCAUAAUCAGGCGCAGCGCAACAACGAAAAGAUGGGUGAUAAUAGAGCGGAAACUAAGCCCCGGGCCCUUGGCAGGGCGGGGCUUGUGUGGUCCCGGGUCGCACUGCCCGAAGCAAGCGCCGGCGCUGCGGUGGGGUGCUUGGGACGCUGGAUCCCGGCCAGGCAGACACCAGCGCGCUAUCCCGAGUUUUCAGCGGGGCGCGCGCUCCAUCUAGCGGUCGAAGUGCAAACAGCACUCGCCGCCCUCAAGCUUGUGGACGCCGGGGCGCCUCGCAGUCAAAUCUGUCGCCCGGGUUUCCUACCUUCACACCCCGCGUCAGUCGCCACAU